UCCAGCGAUCCGUUCUCCACUCAUUCUCCUAUGUGAUUUCCGACCUCACAUGGGCAUCUCUCUUAUAUUACAUUGCUACCAAUUAUUUCCACCUCCUUCCUCAUCCUCUCUCCUACCUGGCCUGGCCAAUUUACUGGGCCUUCCAAGGUUGCAUCCUAACUGGCGUUUGGGUCAUAGCACAUGAAUGUGGCCACCAUGCCUUCAGUGACUACCAAUGGCUUGAUGACACUGUUGGCCUCAUCCUACAUUCCUCUCUCCUUGUACCUUACUUCUCCUGGAAAUAUAGCCAUCGCCGCCAUCAUUCUAAUACCGGUUCCCUCGAGAAGGAUGAAGU
rnacentral:lncRNA from 1 species